AGUGAACGCUGGCGGUAGGCCUAACACAUGCAAGUCGAACGGCAGCACAGUAAGAGCUUGCUCUUACGGGUGGCGAGUGGCGGACGGGUGAGGAAUACAUCGGAAUCUACUUUUUCGUGGGGGAUAACGUAGGGAAACUUACGCUAAUACCGCAUACGACAUACGGGUGAAAGCAGGGGAUCUUCGGACCUUGCGCGAUUGAAUGAGCCGAUGUCGGAUUAGCUAGUUGGCGGGGUAAAGGCCCACCAAGGCGACGAUCCGUAGCUGGUCUGAGAGGAUGAUCAGCCACCCUGGAACUGGGCCACGGUCCAGACUCCUACGGGAGGCAGCAGUGGGGAAUAUUGGACAAUGGGCGCAAGCCUGAUCCAGCCAUACCGCGUGGGUGAAGAAGGCCUUCGGGUUGUAAAGCCCUUUUGUUGGGAAAGAAAAGCAGCAGGUUAAUACCCCGCUGUUCUGACGGUACCCAAAGAAUAAGCACCGGCUAACUUCGUG
rnacentral:rRNA from 1 species